GUUGAACCAUCGGUUCUUUUGCGACCACCGAUGUUAAGCAAACUCGAGUCUGGACAGUACUUAGAUGGGCGACCGUUUUGGAAUAUCAUGUGCUGUAA